UAAUACGGAGGGUGCGAGCGUUGUUCGGAAUUACUGGGCGUAAAGCGCGUGCAGGCGGCCGACUAAGUCAGGUGUGAAAGCCCGGGGCUCACCUCCGGAAGUGCGCUUGAAACUGGUCGGCUAGAGUACGGGAGAGGGAAGCGGAAUUCCUGGUGUAGCGGUGAAAUGCGUAGAUAUCAGGAGGAACACCGGCGGCGAAGGCGGCUUCCUGGACCGAUA
rnacentral:rRNA from 1 species